rnacentral:lncRNA from 1 species
AUGUUGGGUUGUUAUUGCUAGAGCUGCCCCCACAGCCACCACAACCACCACUCUCCACCAUAUUUCCAAGCGCAAAGCUGCCACCGCCACCGCUAUUCACCAUGCUUCCACAUCCACCACAACCGCCACCGCAACCACUACCACAGCCACCACUAUUCACCAUGCUUCCACAUCCACCACAACCGCCACCGCAACCACUACCACAGCCUCCACUAUUCACCAUGCUUCCACAUCCGCCACAACCGCCACCGCAACCACUACCACAGCCUCCACUAUUCACCAUGCUUCCACAUCCGCCACAACCGCCACCGCAACCACUACCGCAGCCUCCACUUUUUACCAUGUGGCGACAUCCACUGCCACAGCCGCCACCACAUCCUCCACUUUUUACUGCAUCCACAUUCAACCUUGCAAUAACUUCAGUCGAGUUAGACUGGUUGAUUUGUUCGGCCUCCUCAUGGAGACCGCUGACCUUUUCCACAUCACCAUCCAACUCCUUCAAACUUCCUCCUCUUAAUAUGAAGCCUCCAUAUCCUUCAUUCUUCAGAAU